ACCGUGGUGGUUCAGGAGUAGAAUUCUCACCUUAUGUGUGGGAGGCCCAGGUUCGAUUCCUGGCCAGUA
rnacentral:tRNA from 1 species